UGCGGGAUAGCUCAGGCGGAAAGAGCAGCGGUCUCAUAAACCGAAGGUCGCGGGUUCAAAUCCCGCUCUCGCAA
rnacentral:tRNA from 1 species